rnacentral:rRNA from 1 species
GACGAACGCUGGCGGCGUGCUUAACACAUGCAAGUCGAACGGUGAAGGGGCCUGCUUUUGUGGGUCCUGGAUGAGUGGCGAACGGGUGAGUAACACGUGAGUAACCUGCCCCCUUCUUCUGGAUAACCGCAUGAAAGUGUGGCUAAUACGGGAUAUUCUGGGUCUGUCGCAUGGUGGGCCUGGGAAAGAUUGCGCUUUUUGGUGUUUUUGGUGGGGGAUGGGCUCGCGGCCUAUCAGCUUGUUGGUGGGGUGAUGGCCUACCAAGGCGGUGACGGGUAGCCGGCCUGAGAGGGUGGACGGUCACACUGGGACUGCGACACGGCCCAGACUCCUACGGGAGGCAGCAGUGGGGAAUAUUGCACAAUGGGCGCAAGCCUGAUGCAGCGACGCCGCGUGAGGGAUGGAGGCCUUCGGGUUGUGAACCUCUUUCGCCAGUGAAGCAGGCCUGCUCCUUUUUUGUGGGUGGGUUGACGGUAGCUGGAUAAGAAGCGCCGGCUAACUACGUGCCAGCAGCCGCGGUAAUACGUAGGGCGCGAGCGUUGUCCGGAAUUAUUGGGCGUAAAGAGCUCGUAGGCGGCUGGUCGCGUCUGUCGUGAAAUCCUCUGGCUUAACUGGGGGCUUGCGGUGGGUACGGGCCGGCUUGAGUGCGGUAGGGGAGGCUGGAACUCCUGGUGUAGCGGUGGAAUGCGCAGAUAUCAGGAAGAACACCGGUGGCGAAGGCGGGUCUCUGGGCCGUUACUGACGCUGAGGAGCGAAAGCGUGGGGAGCGAACAGG